rnacentral:rRNA from 1 species
CCGUGUACAAGUCUCCUGGAAGGGAGCAUCGUAGAGGGUGACAAUCCCGUCUCUGACACGGACCGCCGGCGCUAUGUGAUGCGCUCUCGACGAGUCGAGUUGUUUGGGAAUGCAGCUCAAAUAGGGUGGUAAACUCCAUCUAAAGCUAAAUACGGGCGAGAGACCGAUAGCGAACAAGUACCGUGAGGGAAAGAUGAAAAGAACUUUGGAAAGAGAGUUAAACAGUACGUGAAAUUGCUGGAAGGGAAACGCUUGACGUCAGUCGCGUCGUCCGGGGAUCAACCUUGCCCUCUGGCUGGGCGUAUUUCCCGGUCGACGGGUCAGCAUCGAUUUCGACCGUCGUAGAAGGACUGGAGCGAAUGUGGCACUCCACGGAGUGUGUUAUAGCCUCCCGUAUGGAUGCGACGGUCGGGAUCGAGGAACUCGGCACGGCCCCUCGAGGGUUCGGGGCUUCGGUCCACGCAGCGUGCCCAGGAUGCUGGCAUAAUGGCUUUAAGCGACCCGUCUUGAAACACGGACCAAGGAGUCUAACGUGCCUGCGAGUGUUUGGGUGCAAAACCCGAGCGCGAAACGAAAGUGAAAGUCGAGACCUCCGUCGCGGAGGGCACCGACGCCCGGACCGGAGCCUUUGGCGAUGGAUCUGCGGUAGAGCAUGUAUGUUGGGACCCGAAAGAUGGUGAACUAUGCCUGAAUAGGGCGAAGCCAGAGGA